UUAACUCAAAUUUGUAUGCAGUUGGAACAGCGCCCCUAUCGGCAAACAUAGGCAAACGUUCCAACUCCAUAUAAAUUUAAGUUA
rnacentral:pre_miRNA from 1 species